UGUUUGGGAAUGCAGCUCAAAAUGGGUGGUAAAUUCCAUCUAAAGCUAAAUAUUGGCGAGAGACCGAUAGCGAACAAGUACCGUGAGGGAAAGAUGAAAAGAACUUUGGAAAGAGAGUUAAACAGUACGUGAAAUUGCUGAAAGGGAAACGCUUGAAGUCAGUCGCGUUAACUAGGGAUCAGCCUUACUUCUGUGGGGUGUACUUCCUUGUUGACGGGUCAGCAUCAGUUUUGGCUGCUGGAUAAAGGCUAGGGGAAUGUGGCAUCUUCGGAUGUGUUAUAGCCCUUGGUUGGAUACAGUGGCUGGGACUGAGGAACUCAGCACGCGCAAGUUGUGCUUAGGAUGCUGGCAAAAUGGCUUUAACCGACCCGUCUUGAAACACGGACC
rnacentral:rRNA from 1 species